AGAGUUUGAUCCUGGCUCAGAUUGAACGCUGGCGGCAGGCUUAACACAUGCAAGUCGAGCGGGGAAAGGUAGCUUGCUACCUAACCUAGCGGCGGACGGGUGAGUAAUGCUUAGGAAUCUGCCUAUUAGUGGGGGACAACAUUCCGAAAGGAAUGCUAAUACCGCAUACGUCCUACGGGAGAAAGCAGGGGACCUUCGGGCCUUGCGCUAAUAGAUGAGCCUAAGUCGGAUUAGCUAGUUGGUGGGGUAAAGGCCUACCAAGGCGACGAUCUGUAGCGGGUCUGAGAGGAUGAUCCGCCACACUGGGACUGAGACACGGCCCAGACUCCUACGGGAGGCAGCAGUGGGGAAUAUUGGACAAUGGGGGGAACCCUGAUCCAGCCAUGCCGCGUGUGUGAAGAAGGCCUUUUGGUUGUAAAGCACUUUAAGCGAGGAGGAGGCUACUAGUAUUAAUACUACUGGAUAGUGGACGUUACUCGCAGAAUAAGCACCGGCUAACUCUGUGCCAGCAGCCGCGGUAAUACAGAGGGUGCGAGCGUUAAUCGGAUUUACUGGGCGUAAAGCGUGCGUAGGCGGCUGAUUAAGUCGGAUGUGAAAUCCCUGAGCUUAACUUAGGAAUUGCAUUCGAUACUGGUCAGCUAGAGUAUGGGAGAGGAUGGUAGAAUUCCAGGUGUAGCGGUGAAAUGCGUAGAGAUCUGGAGGAAUACCGAUGGCGAAGGCAGCCAUCUGGCCUAAUACUGACGCUGAGGUACGAAAGCAUGGGGAGCAAACAGGAUUAGAUACCCUGGUAGUCCAUGCCGUAAACGGUGUCUACUAGCCGUUGGGGCCUUUGAGGCUUUAGUGGCGCAGCUAACGCGAUAAGUAGACCGCCUGGGGAGUACGGUCGCAAGACUAAAACUCAAAUGAAUUGACGG
rnacentral:rRNA from 1 species